rnacentral:rRNA from 1 species
GACGAACGCUGGCGGCGUGCUUAACACAUGCAAGUCGAACGGAGUGGCGAACGGGUGAGUAACACGUGGGUGAUCUGCCUUGCACUUCGGGAUAAGCUUGGGAAACUGGGUCUAAUACCGGAUAGUGCAAGAUGAGCUCGCGGCCUAUCGGCUUGUUGGGGGGGUAAUGGCCUACCAAGGCGUCGACGGGUAGCCGGCCUGGGAGGGUGGACGGCCACAUGGGUACUGAGGUACGGCCCAGUCUCGUACGGGAGGCAGCGGUGGGGAAUAUUGCACAAUGGGCGCAAGCGUGAGGCAGCGACGCCGCGUGGGGGAUGAAGGCCUUCGGGUUGUAAACUCCUUUGGACAGGGACGCGGUACCUGUAUAAGAAGCACCGGCUAACUACGUGCCAGCAGCCGCGGUAAUAC